UACGGAGGGGACUAGCGUUGUUCGGAAUUACUGGGCGUAAAGCGCGCGUAGGCGGAUUUGCAAGUCGGGGGUGAAAGCCCGAGGCUCAACCUCGGAACUGCCCUCGAUACUGCAAAUCUCGAGUCCGAGAGAGGUGAGUGGAAUUCCUAGUGUAGAGGUGAAAUUCGUAGAUAUUAGGAAGAACACCAGUGGCGAAGGCGGCUCACUGGCUCGGUACUGAUGCUGAGGCGCGAAAGCGUGGGGAGCAAACAGG
rnacentral:rRNA from 1 species